CCAGCUUUCUUCAAAAUGUUGUUGUGGAUGCUGAUGACUUUGGGCCGGGAUGGUGUCAGGAAAAAGAGCAAAAUCUCCAUCACUUGUUUUGUCAGUGAAGCGUGAUCUGCCAGUUUCUACUAAAUAAUGACAAGCCUCCUGAUUAAAAUAGCAGACAGAUUUCAACUUGUCUGCUACAAUGAAUAAUUGACAAUUUAUUAAUUAUUACUCAAUUAUUAAUUGGGAAAUUAUUAAUUCUUUAUAAACUAGGAAAAUGAGAAAAAAACUAGAAUAAAGUAUCUUUCUGGAAUGAGUUAAUUCUCAUGAGGAACACUGAUUAUUAACAGCAUGGUUCACAAUCAACACUCUAAAUGGGCAGUGUGGGUUCAUCACAGGGCAACUUAAAAACGCAGUACAGCAAACCUGCAGGCACAUAGCCAUACCUAGUAGCAAAUUAGACUGGCUACUUGAGCUAAAAUGCAGAGUCCUGAAUGAUGGGGAAGCUAGAGUCCCUGGCAGAAACCACACAUGCAUGCAGAGACGGGCCCUGGCUAGGAUCUUCUUGUUACCAGGCAACUGGUCAAAUAUCUGCAUUAUCAGAGGAAUUCUUCAUUCUUGUCUAAGUUUAGCAAAGGAAAAGCUGCGUUUUGGAAAGAGAAUUGGCAUAGUUUGAACUUUGGCUGACAAAGUCCAGCAGAUAUUCAGGUACUACUACACAUGACAGAAUGGAUGUUGGCUGGUAUGAAAUGAAGGGAAAUUAUUUCAAGAUUUCACACUCCUAAAAUAUUACUAGAAAAAUUUGAUACAACAAAUCCGUACUUUGAAAAGUAAGAUUUUGUAAUGAGUGGGAGCUUAAUAAACCUAUGUGCUUAACUAAGAUAGAUGACAGACGUCGAUGUGUCAGUAGCAGGAAUGUCAUCCAGACACUCCCUGACUCAUCCAUGUAUUGUAUAAAACACAUGACUUGAUCAUAAUUCCUCUUAUGUUUCAGAUGAAGUGUCCCAGAGAGCACAUCAAAGCAUUGCCUUAUAAUUUCAGACAGACAGUUAAGAGAUAAAUGAUUCACCAUGUUACCCUGACUGACGUGGAUCUUCAUGGAGACAGACAACUUGCUCUCCAGAUGUUUGGCAGCGGAGAGAUAAAAAUGUGAGAGAAUCUUCCAUGAUUGCUCACUGUGUCAGAGGUUAUUUUCAGGGGACCUGCAAGCUGAAAUAACCCUUCUGUUUUGCCAGUUGAUCUGAUGACGAAUGCUUCUAAAUCACCAUUCAGAGGAAAAACUACUGAAGACACUCCUCCUGACCAAUCAAAACAGUCACAGAGGAAGUUUACCUGUUUUUCAUUCAGGUUGUGCUACUGGCUGUCCUCAUGAAGCGUGUCGGAGGGCGGUGGUAAUAACAAAAAGAUGAAGCUUAAAAUCACUAUGCUGGAGGCAUAAAAGUAAUAAGAGUACAUUUCAAUGUGGAACAACUCAACAAUAAAAACAUUUAAAUAUCGCU